CCUACGGGGGGCAGCAGUGAGGAAUAUUGGUCAAUGGGCGCGAGCCUGAACCAGCCAAGUAGCGUGAAGGAUGACUGCCCUACGGGUUGUAAACUUCUUUUGUAAAGGAAUAAAGUGAGGCACGUGUGCCUUUUUUUAUGUACUUUAUGAAUAAAGCUCGGCUAAAUCCGGAGCAGCAGCCGCGGUAAUACGGAGGAUCCGAGCGUUAUCCGGAUUUAUUGGGUUUAAAGGGAGCGUAGAUGGGUUGGUAAGUCAGGUGUGAAAGUUUGCGGCUCAACCGUAAAAUUGCAAUUGAUACUGGCAGUCUUGAGUACAGUAGAGGUAGGCGGAAUUCGUGGUGUAGCGGUGAAAUGCUUAGAUAUCACGAAGAACUCCGAUUGCGAAGGCAGCUUACUAAACUGCCACUGACAUUGAUGCUCGAAAGUGUGGGUAUCAAACAGGAUUAGAUACCCGAGUAGUC
rnacentral:rRNA from 1 species